rnacentral:rRNA from 1 species
ACGGGAGGCAGCAGUGGGGAAUAUUGGACAAUGGGCGAAAGCCUGAUCCAGCGACGCCGCGUGAACGAUGAAGUAUUUCGGUAUGUAAAGUUCUAUCAGCAGGGAAGAUAAUGACGGUACCUGACUAAGAAGCACCGGCUAAAUACGUGCCAGCAGCCGCGGUAAUACGUAUGGUGCAAGCGUUAUCCGGAUUUACUGGGUGUAAAGGGAGCGUAGGCGGCUUUGCAAGUCUGAUGUGAAAGCCCGGGGCUCAACUCCGGUAUUGCAUUGGAAACUGUAGAGCUAGAGUGUCGGAGGGGUAAGUGGAAUUCCUAGUGUAGCGGUGAAAUGCGUAGAUAUUAGGAGGAACACCAGUGGCGAAGGCGGCUUACUGGACGAUUACUGACGCUGAGGCUCGAAAGCGUGGGGAGCAAACAGGAUUAGAUACCCUGGUA